AGGACAUAUUGAAAUAAACCUGAUGGGUUGUUGCUGGUUCUCUUGGGAGCAUGUGCACGCCUUGUCAUCUUUAUAUCUCCACCUGUGCACCUUUUGUAGACCUUUCAGGUCUAUGUUGCUUCAUUUACCCCAAUGUAUGUUAAUAGAAUGUUGUGCCUAUAUAAUAUAUACAACUUUCAGCAACGGAUCUCUUGGCUCUCGCAUCGAUGAAGAACGCAGCGAAAUGCGAUAAGUAAUGUGAAUUGCAGAAUUCAGUGAAUCAUCGAAUCUUUGAACGCACCUUGCGCUCCUUGGUAUUCCGAGGAGCAUGCCUGUUUGAGUGUCAUUAAUAUAUAUAUCAACCUUCUCUUUGUUGAGUGGUUUUGGAUGUGGGGGUUUGCUGGUCUCUUUAAAGGUUUCAGCUCCCCUGAAAUGCAUUAGCAGAACAACCUGUUCAUUGGCGUGAUAACUAUCUAUGCUAUUGAAUGUGAAGGGCAGUUCAGCUUUCUAACAGUCUUUGGACAAUUCAUCAUUAAUGUGGCCUCAAAUCAGGUAGGACUACCCGC
rnacentral:rRNA from 1 species